CACGUAGGGUGCGAGCGUUGUCCGGAAUUAUUGGGCGUAAAGAGCUCGUAGGCGGUGUGUCGCGUCGGCCGUGAAAACCUGCAGCUUAACUGUGGGCGUGCGGUCGAUACGGGCAUCACUGGAGUUCGGCAGGGGAGACUGGAAUUCCUGGUGUAGCGGUGGAAUGCGCAGAUAUCAGGAGGAACACCGGUGGCGAAGGCGGGUCUCUGGGCAGUAACUGACGCUGAGGAGCGAAAGCGUGGGGAGCGAACAGG
rnacentral:rRNA from 1 species